GCCACUGCUAUUGGGGUUCGACUAAGCCAUGCGAGUGGAGGGCGUCCCGCAAGGGAUGGCCCCGCAGACGGCUCAGUAACACGUCGUCAACCCACCUUAGGGUGGGGGACAACCUCGGGAAACUGAGGGUAAUCCCCGAUAGACGGGAAACGCUGGAAUGCCUUCCCGUCCAAAGCUCAGGCGCCCUAGGAUGGGACUGCGGCCCAUCAGGCUGUUGGUGGUGUGACG
rnacentral:rRNA from 1 species